UACGUAGGGGGCAAGCGUUGUCCGGAAUCAUUGGGCGUAAAGCGCGUGUAGGCGGCUUGGUAAGUCUGCUCUGAAAGCCCGGGGCUCAACCCCGGGAGGCGGGUGGAUACUGUCAAGCUCGAGUCCGGAAGAGGAGUGUGGAAUUCCUGGUGUAGCGGUGAAAUGCGCAGAUAUCAGGAGGAACACCGGUGGCGAAGGCGGUUCUCUGGACAGUUCCUGACGCUGAGGCACGAAGGUCAGGGGAGCAAACGGG
rnacentral:rRNA from 1 species